rnacentral:rRNA from 1 species
UACGAAGGGGGCUAGCGUUGUUCGGAAUUACUGGGCGUAAAGCGCACGUAGGCGGAUCGUUAAGUCGGGGGUGAAAGCCCGGGGCUCAACCCCGGAAUUGCCUUCGAUACUGGCGGUCUUGAGGUCGAGAGAGGUGAGUGGAACUCCGAGUGUAGAGGUGAAAUUCGUAGAUAUUCGGAAGAACACCAGUGGCGAAGGCGGCUCACUGGCUCGAUUCUGACGCUGAGGUGCGAAAGCGUGGGGAGCAAACAGG